CACCAGCGCCACUAGUGGGAACCAGUUUUAUUGGGCCUAAAGCGUCCGUAGCCGGUCUGGAAAAUUCUUUGUGAAAUUGUUGGGCUUAACCUAACAACGUGCAGAGGCGACUACCAGACUAGGGACCGGGAGGCGUCAGAGGUAUUCCUUGGGGAGCGGUAAAAUGUUAUAAUCCUUGGAAGACCACCUGUGGCGAAGGCGUCUGACGAGAACGGAUCCGACGGUGAGGGACGAAAGCUAGGGGA
rnacentral:rRNA from 1 species